UACAGAGGAGCCAAGCGUUGUCCGGAUUGACUGGGCGUAAAGCGCACGCAGGCGGUCUGGCGCGUGGGGUGUGAAAUCUGGCCGCUUAACGGCCAGGCGCCAUCCCAUACGGCUAGACUGGAGGGCUGCAGAGGUCGAUGGAAUUGCCGGUGUAGCGGUGAAAUGCGUAGAUAUCGGGAGGAACACCUGUGGCGAAAGCGGCGCACUGGACCACAUCUGACGCUGAGGCGCGAAAGCUAGGGGAGCAAACAGG
rnacentral:rRNA from 1 species